rnacentral:rRNA from 1 species
CGGGGCAACAGGGAUUGCCCUAAGUAACGGCGAGUGAAGCGGCAACAGCUCAAAUUUGAAAGCUAGCCUUCGGGUUCGCAUUGUAAUUUGUAGAGGAUGCUUUGGGUAAAACGCCAGUCUAAGUUCCUUGGAACAGGACGUCAUAGAGGGUGAGAAUCCCGUAUGUGACUGGAAAUGUUAACCUAUGUAAAGCUCCUUCGACGAGUCGAGUUGUUUGGGAAUGCAGCUCUAAAUGGGAGGUAAAUUUCUUCUAAAGCUAAAUAUUGGCGAGAGACCGAUAGCGCACAAGUAGAGUGAUCGAAAGAUGAAAAGCACUUUGGAAAGAGAGUUAAAAAGCACGUGAAAUUGUUGAAAGGGAAGCGCUUGCGCAAAUCAGACUUGUUUAAAGUGUUGGGCCGGUCUUCUGACCGGUUUACUCAGUUUGGAACGGGCCAGCAUCUUUUUCGGCGGCCGGAUAAAGGCAUUGGGAAUGUGGCCUUCACUUCGGUGGAGGUGUUAUAGCCCAGUGUGUAAUACGGCCAGCCCGGGACUGAGUUCCGCGCUUCGGCUAGGGAUGGCGUGGCGUAA